CAAUUUUAAUUUUAAUUUUAAUUUCAAAUUUUAUUUGAUACGAUGUUUUAAUUGAAUUUUGCCGCCGACUUCGGAUCGGAGUACGGGCAUCACCCGCUAGGGGCGCUGAAACUCGUCUAUUAACAUUGGCUCUUAUGAGCCGCUUCUCCUCUAACCUAUACUCUGUGAGUUCGACUUCGAAGUGCUUCGAAACCCGCGUUGGCGUUGAAAAGAAUACUCCCAGGCACUUAUUCCAGAAAACUUGUGAAACUGAUGACAAUAUUGGCGAAAAAUCAGGUUGCUGGAUAGACUGAAGCGAAAAGGACAUGGCUACUUCGAGGCUCCCAUACCUUCAGGAUUAAGCGCAUAAGAUCAUCGAUAAAUUCUUUCGUAGCAAAUCUAGUUCACCUGGGCGAAUACUGAAUAGUAAACGACUAAGCAACAGGAAAACCCGAUUUCUAUUCACGAAAUGCUCGAAUCUGUAACUGGAUUCCUUCGAAUGCGUAAUAACGCGGUUGUGACUCGUUAAAAGCUAUUACAAGAGCGUGAGCGUGGCCUUCGGAUCUUAUCUGCGAUCGAAUCUACUAAGGAUCUGGAGGAACGACGGUGUUAUAAAAUGGAACGAUCUAUAGCCUCUACCGGGGCCAUUACACGACCCAAUAAAACAGCUCUGGCAACCUGUUACCGGUUACCGGAUUAUUUCGUGAAUAAAACGGCGAGCGUCGCGUGCGUGCCCGUCGCUCACCUUCUUUGUACACGGCGAAGACAGAGAGAAACGAGCGAAAGAGGAAAUCCAGAGGGAGAGGGACGAGGAAAAAAGACGGAUAGGUCACCGACCGGUUGUCACUGACAAUUCCGUCGUGCGAUAGACAGGUCCUAAAAUAUUUUAGGUUGCCAGGCCAGUCGGACUGACCGAAUUUCACGAAAGCCUCAGGUUCCGCUGGGGUUAGUCAUCGAGGAUUCUCCCCAGCACGAAUUCCACGACAUUGUUCCUUUCUGACGUUUUUCUGCCUUGGUGAAUCAGCGGAUUGAAUCAGAGCAGGUGAAA